CUGUUAUGUAAUUUUAAAAUAUGUAAUUUGUUGAUUAAGUAUUUAAAGAUGUUUAUAUGGGGCACACACAUGUGGUCUAGAGGCAGAGCAAGGUUGUGGUGAUUGAGGUCAUGGGUUCAAGUCCCCACACCCCUCUAAAAAAAUGUGCAGUUCCUGCCAACUCUUGUCUUUAAAGAUGGCUAAAAUAUCAUUCUAGUAACAUAAACAUAAGUGAUCAUUUCAUGUGGUAACUCCUAGGGGCAGGUUCUGUUUGGUCAGGUAAUCUAAUGGGAGUGGGCUUUUGCAAAUUCUGGAUACAUGGGUCUUUGAAGGUGUAGUUUGUUACUUGAGUUUGUACAUGAAAUAGUGCUAGGAUUUCUUUUGUUGGAUAUGUGUUCCAAACAGUUGAUUGGUGAAUGCAACAUUGCAUCGCAUUAAAAUGAAUUGUUUGUACUAAUUAUGUAAACUGGAAUUUUUUUAUAGUGAGACAUGCUAAGCCUUUAUAUGCAUCUGGAAUCAUACGAGGAUGUGUUCUCCAUGAACUGAAUGAAUUAUGAAGGAAAUAUUCUGUAGAACUCUCCAUUUAACCUUUCCAUUUCGUCUGUCUUGUUUUCUUAUGUAUUUACAGCACAAAAGGUAUACAGAUUUAUAGUUAAAAGCUAACUUGUACUGAAAAAUAUGUGCAAACUGUUAACUCAUACUGAAUAAGUGAGCUCUGUUUUUUAUGCAAUAUUUUGAAUCUUAAUUGGGUAUUAAUCUGAUGAUCUCUACUAGUAGGAAUUUCCUAUGGCAUGACGUAGCCACUGCCAUUUUUUUUUGAGUAUCUAUCAGCGAUGUGGGAACUGGAAGGAAUUAUCAAACAACUUAUCCUUUGUUCAUGUUUAUUCAAGGCUUAAGACCAUCCAUUCUUGAUCUUCUGUUCUUAAUCAUAGCAGGGUGGUGCAGGUACAUGGAGUGAUGGGAAGCUCGUGACCAGGAUAGGAAGAAAUGCUGAUGCUGUUCAGGCUGUUAUGAAAACAUUUGUUCAGUUUGGGGGCCCUGCAAACAUUUAAUUGAUGGGAAACCUCACUUGGGUACUGAUAAGCUUGUUCCCUUGCUGCAGAAUUUCAGGCACCACUUAAGAAUUGGGUGUAUUUUUGAACAUAUCUAUCUUCGGUUACCAUAAGAUUUAAUGCUGGAGUAGAUGACAUUACAGUGGAAGAUGGGGAGGUGAAAGGAAUUGUGGCUUCUGAUUCAGGACUACAGCCAGGUUCUGUUGACCAGGAACUACCAUUUGAUGCGGUUGUUUUGGCAGCUGGCCACUCUGCUGGUGAUACAUACAGUAUGCUUCAGCAGCAUAAUGGAGGUGAUACAUACAGUAUGCUUCAGCAGCAUAAUGGAGAUCUAAUCCCAAAAAGUUUUGCUUUCAUGAAAAAAGCAGGUUCUUCUUACAGGUUGACUUAAUUUCGGUAAACUACCGAAUUGAGCAUCCUCAAGUACUGAUAAACAGUAUCCAAUACUCUGAAUUGGCUGCUGAAGUAAACAAAGGACGUGGCCGGAUACCUGUAGCAGAUCACUAGAUAGUGAAGUCUAUCGGUGAAGGAGAUGAAGAGAAUGAUCUAGAUAUAGCCGAACAAAGCCACAGUUGUUACUCUUUUUGCAUGUGCCCUGGUGGACAGGUUGUUCUAACUAGCACAAAUCCAUCAGAAUUGUGCAUCAAUGGCAUGUCAUUUCCACGGCGUGCAUCGAAAUGGGCAAACUCAGGUCUGGUGGUCACUGUAUCAUCUAAUGAUUUCAAAACAUUUCAGUCCCUAGGUCCUCUCGCAGGUGUUGAAUUCCAGGUACUUGUUACAGGAAUUAUCUAAGAUAACAACAUAAACACUUUAAUCAUUACUGUAUAAUGCAUAAUGUCUACUUAAAUU